CCCCGGGAUUUAAAGGGCCCGCUCUCCGCCCUGCCCUGGGAGCCACAGCCGGUCCCGGCCUUGCGAUCUGCGGGGGAGGCUGUCCGGAGCAGGCGGUGACGGUGGCGGCGUUGGUGCGUCCCCGGCCCUCAGGACCGCGGCUUCCUUCCUGCCAGGUCUCUCCAUCUGUCCAUCCAUCCGUGGGGGUCCACAAUGGCCACCUUCAGCCGCCAGGAAUUUUUCCAGCAACUACUGCAGGGCUGUCUCCUGCCUACUGCCCAGCAGGGCCUUGACCAGAUCUGGCUGCUCCUUGCCAUCUGCCUCACCUGCCGCCUCCUCUGGAGGCUUGGGUUGCCAUCCUACCUGAAGCAUGCAAGCACUGUGGCAGGUGGGUUCUUCAGCCUCUACCACUUCUUCCAGCUGCACAUGGUUUGGGUUGUGCUGCUCAGCCUCCUGUGCUACCUCGUGCUGUUCCUUUGUCGACAUUCCUCCCAUCGAGGCGUCUUCCUCUCUGUCACCAUCCUCAUCUACCUACUCAUGGGUGAGAUGCACAUGGUGGACACCGUGACAUGGCACAAGAUGCGAGGGGCCCAGAUGAUCGUGGCCAUGAAGGCGGUGUCUCUGGGCUUCGACCUGGACCGGGGCGAGGUGGGUUCAGUGCCUUCACCUGUGGAGUUCAUGGGCUACCUCUACUUCGUGGGCACCAUCGUCUUUGGGCCCUGGAUAUCCUUCCACAGCUAUCUGCAGGCUGUCCAGGGUCAUGCACUGAGCUGCCAAUGGCUGCGGAAGGUGGCCCGGAGCCUGGCACUGGCCCUGCUGUGCCUUGUCCUGUCAACCUGUGUGGGCCCUUACCUCUUCCCGUACUUCAUUCCCCUUGAUGGUGACCGCCUCCUUCGCAACAAGAAACGCAAAGCCAGGGGCACCAUGGUAAGGUGGCUGCGAGCCUACGAGAGUGCUGUCUCCUUCCACUUCAGCAACUAUUUCGUGGGAUUUCUUUCGGAGGCCACAGCCACAUUGGCAGGGGCUGGCUUCACCGAGGAGAAGGACCACCUGGAAUGGGACCUGACAGUAUCCAAGCCAUGGAAUGUGGAGCUGCCCCGGUCCAUGGUAGAAGUUGUCACAAGCUGGAACCUGCCCAUGUCUUAUUGGCUAAAUAACUAUGUUUUUAAGAAUGCUCUCCACCUGGGGACCUUCUCAGCCGUGCUGGUGACCUAUGCAGCCAGUGCCCUCCUGCACGGCUUCAGCUUCCACCUAGCUGCGGUGCUGCUGUCCCUGGCAUUUAUCACUUACGUGGAGCAUGUCCUCCGGAAACGCCUGGCUCGGAUCCUCAGUGCCUGCGUCUUGUCGAAACGGUGCCCACCAGACUGUUCACACCAGCAUCGCUUGGGCCUGUGGGUGCGAGCCUUAAAUCUGCUCUUUGGGGCCCUAGCCAUCUUCCACCUGGCCUACCUGGGCUCCCUGUUUGAUGUUGAUGUGGACGACACCACAGAAGAGCAGGGCUAUGGCAUGGCAUACACUGUCCACAAGUGGUCAGAGCUCAGCUGGGCCAGUCACUGGGUCACUUUCGGAUGCUGGAUCUUCUACCGUCUCAUAGGCUGAGGCACAUCUGUGGACCCUCACAGCUCCCUCAAGACCCCUCCUCAGGGUGCCAGCUCUGAUGGGGGAUGAGGGAAGGCCCUCUAAUUCUUAACCCCUCUCCAUCUUUGAUCCCCUCCGGUACCCCUACACACACACACACACACACACACACCUACACGCACACACACACCUACACGCAUGCACACACACACACACACACACACCCUCUGGUACCCCUACACACACACACACACACACACACACACACACACACACACACACACACACACUUUCCAUGCUUGUCAGUCCCCACCCCACCACAAGGCGGGAAGUGGGUGGUCCUGCUGGGGCCUAGGGGUAGGGGAUGCUUGGGGAACCAGAAAGGGGAGAUCCAGGGCCUCCCUGCUUCCUUCUCCCUUUUUAUAUACAGUUUGUGUCAAAUAAAAGUAGGAAAUACACAAAAGGCUCUUUCUUCGCUGUUCAGUGGGGAAUAGAAGUGAGGAAGGGGGCACAGCAUGGAUAAAGGUUUGGAAGCUAGAAACCAUGAAGAGGAAGCUGGCUGAUUGCUUAAUUGUUAAUUUAUUAUUGCUCAUGAUUGGAGGAUGAGGCCAAAGAGGGCACUGCUUAAUUUGAAUUAGGCCAGGACAUACUGGAUAGUUGGAUGUAGGGGAGGCCUGAUAAUAAUUAGCUGGAAAAUUGAGGGAUCCUCACUCUGAUUGUUUGAUCUGACGGGACAGAGAGGAGGGAAAAGCAAGGUAGGUGAAGAGGUGAUGCUUACUGGUCUUUAGGACUGAGGGUUGUGGGUUCUGGUUGGAUAGGAGAUCUGGGAUAGGUCUGGGUGCCCACUGGCUUAGAGUUAUGGAGUUCUGAUUGGCUCUUCAGAGUUGGCACAGGGAGAUGGAGGGUCUCUGUGCCGACUGGCCAGUUAGGCUGAGGGACCUGAGUUUUGUUUAGUUCUGAUUCGAAGUCGGGAGAGGUGAGGAUGACCCCUGAGCUGUUCUAAUCGCCGAGGGAGAGGGCAGAGGCAUAAUAUGCAUGAUGUGAUCUGCCUGUCAUACUAACAGUUUCCUUGCCCAUUUAGGCAUUAGGAUUGAAGGUUGGUCCGGGAACUCAUUGGUUACUCUGCCUAGAAAACGAGGGAAAAGGUGAGAGGACACAACACAAUGCUGAUUUCACAGAUUGGCUUCGGACUGAAAACGCCCCACCAAGCUUGGCCUAUCCCAGCUUUCACCGACCUCCUGACUCGGUCUCAGCCAACCGCGAGAAUGGCACAUAGCGUGAGGGGGCCGGUGAUACAACAGAGAGCUCCUAUUGG